AACGUAGGAGACGAACGUUAUCCGGAGUUACUGGGCGUAAAGGGCGUGCAGGCGGUCUGAUAAGUUCGGCGUGAAAUAUUCCGGCUUAACCGGGAUAGGUCGUCGGAGACUGUCGGACUAGAGGGUGAUAGAGGCGUGUGGAAUUCCGGGUGUAGCGGUGGAAUGCGUAGAGAUCGGGAAGAACAUCGGUGGCGAAGGCGGCCUGCUGGGCUGUUGCUGACGCUGAGGCGCGACAGCGUGGGGAGCAAACAGG
rnacentral:rRNA from 1 species